GAUGAACGCUAGCGGCAGGCCUAACACAUGCAAGUCAGGGGUAACAUAGAAAAGCUUGCUUUUCUGAUGACGACCGGCGCACGGGUGCGUAACGCGUAUACAACCUACCUUUUAGCGGGGAAUAGCCCAGGGAAACUUGGAUUAAUGCCCCAUAGUAUAUAGACUUCUCCUGAAGUUUAUAUUAAACAUUUAUGGCUAUUAGAUGGGUAUGCGUCCUAUUAGUUAGUUGGUAAGGUAACGGCUUACCAAGGCAGCGAUAGGUAGGGGUCCUGAGAGGGAGAUCCCCACACUGGUACUGAGACACGGACCAGACUCCUACGGGAGGCAGCAGUGAGGAAUAGUGGACAAUGGGCGAGAGCCUGAUCCAGCCAUGCCGCGUGCAGGAAGACUGCCCUAUGGGUUGUAAACUGCUUUUACAGAGGAAGAACCACCCCACGUGUGGGGGUUUGACGGUACUCUGCGAAUAAGGAUCGGCUAACUCCGUG
rnacentral:rRNA from 1 species